GCAGGAGGCUGAUGCAGAGGUCGCAGCAGGAGGGACUGGAGGUGGAACCACACAACCUCAGCUCCUCGGAUGGAGACAAGGCCCCGAUGGGAUGGAAAGCUCAAGGAGUCCAGGAAUGUCUUCCUAUCCAAAUUGUUACCUGCUUGUCACUCGGAAGAAGAGGUGAAUGAAUGCAAGAAGCAGGUGGUGAUGCUGGUACUGUGCUGCUCCUCCAGCCUUCCUUCCCAGCCCAGGGAGAAGCCCCUGUGCUGGGGUGCACAGGCUGCUCCCAAGCUCUGCAGUCAGAUGUGCUGAGGUUGCUAUUUUCUGGCAGGAGGUUGUUAACCCCAGAACUGUGGAACAUUUGAAGUUCAUUGUGUCUAGACACAGAAGAAUGUGAGUGCUGUCAGCUCUGAUACACACAAAAUAAACUAGCUCCAAAGAUUUUCCCUUUCAAG